CAGCCGCCGCGGUAAUACGUAGGUGGCAAGCGUUGUCCGGAAUUAUUGGGCGUAAAGGGCUCGCAGGCGGUUUCUUAAGUCUGAUGUGAAAGCCCCCGGCUCAACCGGGGAGGGUCAUUGGAAACUGGGAAACUUGAGUGCAGAAGAGGAGAGUGGAAUUCCACGUGUAGCGGUGAAAUGCGUAGAGAUGUGGAGGAACACCAGUGGCGAAGGCGACUCUCUGGUCUGUAACUGACGCCGAGGAGCGAAAGCGUGGGGAGCGAACAGGAUUAGAUACCCCGUAGUCCCUGUCUCUUAUACA
rnacentral:rRNA from 1 species